rnacentral:lncRNA from 1 species
UUUUCAUUUUAAAACAAAAUGAAUGAGGUGCAAAACCUAAGACAACUGGGAAGAAAUUAUUUUGUGUCUUUGAUCCUCAACUUUAAACUUUCAAAAGUAUGACUGAUUCACAAUAAUUCCUGCUAAACUAUAUUUUGUCAAGGGAUUACAUACAGAAUUAUCCACAUAUUUACUUUGGUAUUUGAAAAGUGACCAAGUGUUUUUUGUUUUCAGGAAAUUUUAUUUUCUUUAUUUAUGUCUAAUAUCAUGUUCUACCCAAGAAUAAUUUCUAAGUGUUAUAGAGGAAACCCUUGGAAUUUUUAAUUAUUUUAAAUAUUCAAUGUACUUUAUUUGAAUAUGGAAAAAACUAGAUGGGGUGAGUUUCUUUGAAAGUAAGGCUGUUAAAAUGUCUAAGGCAUUCAAGAAGGUUGAGAGGGAGGUCUACUUAUCUGCCAGAUAUUUAUCAAAGAACUUUUAAAUUUUUUUUAAGAUUGUAUUUUAAUUAAAACACUUGUCCCUUCCCUCUUAUCCCUUUAAACUUUCCCACACAUCCCUCCCCAUUCUCUUUAAAAUUCAUGGCCCCAUUUUUCAUCAGUCUUUUUUGCAUGCACAUAUGAAUUUGUAUAUACAUAUGUAUUCCAAAAUAUAAACUGUUUAAUUCAUAUAAUACUACUUGCAUGUAUGUUUUCAGGACAAACCAUCUGACAGUGGACAACCAGUUGGUGUGCUUUUCCUGAGGAAGGCCACCUCUACCACACACAGCUUUACUUAGUUGCCUGUAGUUCUUGUGGAAGGUUGAGGACUCAUAUUUCACCAUCUCAUUUACAUUUCAAAUGCUAUCCCCUCUCCUAGUUUCCCUUCGGAAAACCAAAAAGCCCCUUGUCCCCACCCCCUCCCCCUCCUCCCCAACCAACCCACUCUGCUUCCUGUCCCUGGCAUUCCCCUACACAGGGUCAUAGAACCUUCACAGGUCCAAGGGCCUCUCCUCCCAUUGAUGAUCGACUAGGCCAUCCUCUGAUACAUAUGCAGCUAGAGCCAUGAGUCCCACAAUGUGUUUUGUUUGAUUGGUGGUUUAGUCCCAUGAAGCUCUGGGGGUACUGAUUAGUUCAUAUUGUUGUUUCUCCUAUGGGGCUGCAAACCCAUUCAGCUCCUUGGGUACUUUCUUGGAAUUUUAAUGUUAAUUCUCUGCUUCCUUUUAGCUAUCAUUGAUGUUAUUAAAAAAGUUCUGUCUUGAUAUUUAUCUCUUCUAACACCCUAUCAGAUACUAGAAACCAGUAUUUGCCUCUUCUCAAUUCUGUAGAGUAAAACUCCUAAGGAUGACAGAACAUCUAGGUUUCUGGUGAAUGCCUCCUUCAUGGCUGUGGAUAGCCAUCUUUUUUUUUCUUUCUUUCUUUCUUUCUUUCCAGACUACUCACAAGACAGAGAAUGUACUCUCCAAUGUUUCCUUCUUUUCCUGUAAAUACAUCAAUCCAAUUGCACUUGGACUAAACUCAUAUAACUUUGAUAUUCUUUCACAGAACUUAAGUACAGUCACACAAUUGGGUAAAGAUUCAAUGUAUAGAUAAUGUAGAAAGUACAAGUUAGUCCAUAAUAACUGUUUAAAAAUACUUCCAAUUAAAUUUCACUUCCAUAGAUAUUUUAACUCAGCAGUUGAACAUAAUUUAUCAUUUUUUCCAAUCUGAAUCCCAUUGAAAAAAAAAAAAACAUAGUCCCCAAAUGGAUUAUUUUCUUCUCUGAAGGAAGUCUAUUUUGGGAUUCAACUUUUAAAUAUUAGUCCACUCCUGAAAGGAGAGAAAUAACAGUUACCAUCUGUUUCCACUCAUCCAGAAAUAGAUACAUACAGAGUUUAGUAUUGAAUCGAUAUGAGAAAUUUGCAGUUCUUUAUUGAGAAACGUGAAAAGAAUGAGAGCAUUUUAUAGUGUCCUUGAGUGUUCUUUUAAAGUCCAGUAAACUGUCAUUCAUUAAUUCAUUAUGAUAAUUUUACUCUCACAUAUUUUAGUGUGUAGUGGGUGUGUGUGUAUUUGUAGAAAUAUGUAUACAUGCAUACAGAAGUCAACUGAUAACGUGUGUGAAUUGUUUCUUUUUUUAUACCAUGUGGGACCUAUGGAGCAAACUCAGGUUAUUAGGAUAGGCAGCCAACACCCACAUCACCAAUCCUCUUUCUAAUCAGUUUUUACUAAAUGACUGCUAUGGGUUAAUCACCAUUUUCAGCCUUUUUAAGGCAAGAAAGAAUGGACAUUCUCACUUCAAGGAGUGAAAAAUAUCCUAGUCAGAGUACUAAAAUACAUAGGCACACUUUUAACAAAGUGUUAACCCCUAACCCCUUAUCUAGUAUGUCCUUCAGUUAUAUUUUUAUGCCAUUUCUUAUAGAUGGCACACAUUUCUGAGCUGAGUAUUUUUUCCCUAGAGAAAAAAAAAACUGAAUAAGAAAAUAAAAUGGAAUUUCUUCUAGUUGUUCAUCUGCAAGACUAGAGAUUGAAAUAUAGGUGAAUCCAGCCCUUAUAACUAUGAGCAUUACAGGAGAAGCUCUCCCAUGUAACUUACCACAGUCCUACAUGUUGUUCAGAAAUGAGGAUCCAACCCAAGACCUCACGUAAUUAGAUCAGUGCUCUGUCACUGUGAUAUGUCCCUGACUGUACUUCCUGACUCCCAAAGUUUCUGGUUUAUUUUACCUAUGGUGAGCUCUGCACAGAAACACUUAAAAAUAGCAAUGAGUAACUCCAAUGCAUAGCUGAGCCAGAUAGCGUGUGACAAACUUCCUACUGGUAUCCCUUACCAUAUCCUGAUAGGUUUUUAAGUUUUAUAUCCAAAUCUGAAAUCAGUUGCAUAAGCUCUAAGCUAUUCAUGUCCCUGGACAUGCAUAUCUGCAUCAAAGCACUUGUAAUAUAGCUCCUUAGCAUACCUCUGCUUGGCUAUCAAUUUAGAUAAUCACAUUUGUCUGCUUAUUCAUAUAAAAUCUGGGGAAUUAAAGAACACUUGCAUAAAUACAAAGGAGUUGAAAAUUAGUUUCCGUCCAGAGAGUAUCAUAAUAACAAGCUGGGCAGUGGGGAUAGGCUUCUGUAUUAUUCGAGGUCACUUUGAAUGGGAUAGGUUGAUGCUUUGUGAAACAGUAUUAGGUGGGAAGUCCUAGAAAGCAUGAUUGCAGAAAUAGCCGGUGGGAACAGAAGUGGAGAAGGAAGACAAGAUUAAAACAACAACAACAACAACAACAAAAAAAACAAU